CUGGAGGUAUCAGAAGUGCGAAUGCUGACAUAAGUAACGAUAAAGCGGGUGAAAAGCCCGCUCGCCGGAAGACCAAGGGUUCCUGUCCAACGUUAAUCGGGGCAGGGUGAGUCGACCCCUAAGGCGAGGCCGAAAGGCGUAGUCGAUGGGAAACGGGUUAAUAUUCCCGUACUUGGUGUUACUGCGAAGGGGGGACGGAGAAGGCUAUGUUGGCCGGGCGACGGUUGUCCCGGUUUAAGCGUGUAGGUGUGUGUUCCAGGUAAAUCCGGUUCACUUUAACACUGAGGCGUGACGACGAGGCACUACGGUGCUGAAGCAACAAAUGCCCUGCUUCCAGGAAAAGCCUCUAAGCAUCAGGUAACAUCAAAUCGUACCCCAAACCGACACAGGUGGUCAGGUAGAGAAUACCAAGGCGCUUGAGAGAACUCGGGUGAAGGAACUAGGCAAAAUGGUGCCGUAACUUCGGGAGAAGGCACGCUGACACGUAGGUGAAGUGAUUUACUCAUGGAGCUGAAGUCAGUCGAAGAUACCAGCUGGCUGCAACUGUUUAUUAAAAACACAGCACUGUGCAAACACGAAAGUGGACGUAUACGGUGUGACGCCUGCCCGGUGCCGGAAGGUUAAUUGAUGGGGUCAGCGCAAGCGAAGCUCCUGAUCGAAGCCCCGGUAAACGGCGGCCGUAACUAUAACGGUCCUAAGGUAGCGAAAUUCCUUGUCGGGUAAGUUCCGACCUGCACGAAUGGCGUAAUGAUGGCCAGGCUGUCUCCACCCGAGACUCAGUGAAAUUGAACUCGCUGUGAAGAUGCAGUGUACCCGCGGCAAGACGGAAAGACCCCGUGAACCUUUACUAUAGCUUGACACUGAACAUUGAGCCUUGAUGUGUAG
rnacentral:rRNA from 9 species